CGGAGGGUGCAAGCGUUGUCCGGAUUUAUUGGGUUUAAAGGGUGCGUAGGCGGCUUAUUAAGUCAGCGGUGAAAGACCAGGGCUCAACCCUGGAACUGCCAUUGAUACUGAUAAGCUUGUGUAAAGUUGAGGUAGGCGGAAUUGACGGUGUAGCGGUGAAAUGCUUAGAUAUCGUCAAGAACACCGAUUGCGUAGGCAGCUUACUAAGCUUUAACUGACGCUGAGGCACGAAAGUGUGGGGAUCAAACAGGAUUAGAUACCCUGGUAGUCCACACUGUAAACGAUGAUCACUCGCUGUUGGCGAUACACAGUCAGCGGCUUAGCGAAAGCGAUAAGUGAUCCACCUGGGGAGUACGCUCGCAAGAGUG
rnacentral:rRNA from 1 species